UAAGAUACUAUCAACACUUACUAACAUAAACCGUAUUCUAUACGACAAUCACAAAUUUUAGCUUGCAACUAUUCUAUCAAAAUUUUACAGAAAACAAGAAAUAGAAUAUAAAAUUAACAACUUUAAUAAACUCCUUGCCUCACAAUUUGUGUAGAAUUUGAAAAUUAAUUUCUCUAAAGUUUCAAAGACUCAAACCCUCCUUUUUUACAAAGUUGCGCCGUUUCUGUAUUGCAACCUCUGCUGUAAACUUCAAAAAGACAAAAACCUUUCUGCUUCUCUUUCUUUAAUUUUUUAAAAUCUUAAAAAACGUAUGCCACUUAAAAUUUAAACUCCUUUUACUUAAAUUUUAAUUAAAGAAACAUAUAUCACUUUAUAAAAAGUGAUAGCACUUUUAAAGAAUACAAUCUCUUUUUAAAAAAGAUUUUUAAAAAGGAGUUAAAGAUUAUAAAGUGGGUCCAUUUGACUUUUACUUUUAUAUUAAUUAAUUCAUUUAUGAACUAGUGAAAGUGCUCUUCUUCUUCCUUGUUCUUCCAACGCUAUUAUUACACAUUUCUUCUCCAGAUUCUUACUUGUCCUUUCUUUAAUUUUCAGCUCCUUACAGUUAUUCAUCCCAAAAUAAUUUGUUCUUGAGUAGCAUUAUUUGGUAAGGGCUUAACAUAAUUAUUAAAAUUUUGAAAAAUUUGAAAGUAGAAAAUAAGAAAAAAAUUGGGCAAGUAUCCUCUGUACUCGUGAGAUGGAAGUUGCAAAUCAAAUUCGGUUGACAGUCUCAUUGAAUGUGACUCGGUUUCUCUAAGGAGGGAUUAUCUUUUCAUGGACAUGAUGAGUCAAGUAGUUCUUCAAAUCGAAGUAAUUUUCUUGAGUUGCUUCUAUGGUUUAGUGAAUUCAACGAUGAUGUAUCCAAAACUUUGUUUACAAAUGCUCCUGUUAACAAUCAAAUGAAUUCACUACGAAUUCAAAAGGAAUUAGCAAAUGCUUGUGCUUCAGAGGUCACACUUGCCGUAGUUAAUGAUAUUGGAGAUAAAGUUUUCACUCUUUUGGUUGAUGAGGCUCGAGACGUUUCAUUGAAGGAGCAAAUGAGAAUUGUUUUAAGAUAUGUAAAUAACGAAGGAUAUGUGAUUGAGCGAUUUAUUGGGAUCGUGCAUGUAACUGACACUUCCUCGCAUACUAUGAAAUGCGUUAUUGAUGAUUUGUUGGUGAAGCAUAAUUUGUCUCUAUCUAAAGUGAGAGGGCAAAGAUACGAUGGAGCUUCUAAUAUGGGGGGUGAGUUUAAUGGAUUGAAAUCCUUAGUAUUGCAAGAAAAUCCAUAUGCCAUGUAUUUUCAUUGUUUUUCUCAUCAACUCCAAUUAUUUGUUGUUGCGGUUGCCAAGGUAUUAGAGUUGUGAAGAAUGUUUUUAGCUAUGUCUCCAUAAUUGUGAGUAUGGUCGGGGCAUCUUGUAAAAGAAAAGACCAACUUCUGAACAACUUAAUGAUGGAGAAGUCAUAAGUAGAAGAGGUAAAAAUCAAGAAACUAGUUUGGUAAGGCCUGGAGACACUUGUUGGGCUCACAUUACUUUGCAUUGCUUCGUCUAUGCUCUAUGUGGUCUUCGGUUGAGAAAGUGUUGGAAGUUGUACGUGACUAUGCUACUCUCCGUGAUAACAGAAGUACCACUGAAGGAUUGAUUGAAAAGAUGGAUAAUUAUGAGUUUGUUUUCACUUUGCAUUUGAUGAAACAUUUAUUGGGAAUAACCAAUGAAUUAUCCAUUGCCUUACAAAAGAAAUAUCAAAAUAUUAUUCAAGCCAUAUCAUUGAUCCAAAGUGUAAAGUGUGAAAUAUCAGUUGCAAAGUUUUAGAGACAAUGGAUGAGAAGACGUACAUGAUCAAACAGCAAAUUUUUGUGAAUUGUAUAAUAUUACACAAGUUGAUAUGGAUGAAAUUAUACCACGCCGUGGUUAUAAAAAGUAUGGAGCAAAGUUGAUCACGAAUUUGCAUCAUUAUCGUGUAGACACUUUUAAUAAGGUACUAUAAUAUUCCUAUUCAUGUCUUCUAUACAUAUAUUUUUUUUAUCAUAAUUUAUGUUAUUGUGGUUGCAAUGUCAAGGUUGUUGAUUUAACUAUACAAGAGAUGGAUGAUCGAUUUUCUGAAGCUAGCACCGAAUAGCUAGGAUGCAUAUCAUGUCUUUAUUCGAGAAAUUCUUUCUCUUGAUUCAAUGAUGAUCAAGUAAUUCAUCUUGCUACAUUAUAUCACGAGGACCUCUCUGCAAAUAAUUGUUCACGUCUUCCACUUUAACUUAGUAAUUUUAUUGUUAAUAUCCGAUGUGAUCCUCAAUUUGAUGCCUUAAGAAACUUAGGAGACGUUGCUACGGAGAUGGUCAAAAGUGGUAAGCAUUUGGUUUUUUCUGUUGGUUUAUCGGAUUAUUGAGUUGGCAUUGGUUUUACCCGUUACUUCUGUUGAGAGAGCAUUUUCUGCAAUGAAGACUAUCAAGAUUGAUUUGCGAAAUCGAAUGGGAGAUGAGUGGAUGAAAGAUAGUUUAAUUGUGUACAUUGAGAAGGACCUAUUUUCAACGAUUGAGAACGUAGAAUUUAGUUGUCACCGCUUUAGAUGUAAAACCAUAGCUAUGACAUGUUCUUUUUAUUAGAUAUAUUUUGGACUACUUCAUGUUAAAUAUAUAUGCAUUUUUUACAGCGUUUGCGGUUUUUAUAUUGUAUAAUUUCAUAUAUAUAUAUACUCCUUAUAUCCCCUAGUGUAAAACAUAGGACUAAUCUGAUCCCUUGGAUCUAUUAAUUUAAUGGCUUGGAUUAAUUGUCACUCAGUACAUUAUCAUACACUUUUCAUACAUUAAGGGGUAUUUCUUACUCACGAUCAAUUCAUUUCCCUCCCACUCUCACCCCUCAUUAUUUCCAUCCUCUCUCCCCCCUCUCUCCUCCCACAAUUCAACUCAACCCUAGCCGCCGCCUAGUUGAACCGGUUUCUACAGUCAAUUGUACCGACGAACGACCUAGAGCACGACGAAUCGGUCAACAUCACGACGCCGUCUGAUAUAUAACCUGGAAAUUUUGUUUUCUCCCCUGACGAAUUCCGAAAUCGGGAGCACCGGAAGAACUUCCUACAAAAUGGUGAACAAACGCACUACUUCGAGGAGGCCUGCUAGCCAAGCGACAAGUAAAUGGCUUUAUUGGUUUACUGUAAUGUUUGAACAUUGUUAACAUCGUUGUUUACAUUGUUCCAAAUCCUAUGCUACAUCAUGGCUAUAGUUUUGUUCAUCAAUUAUUUAGUACAUUAUUAUGUGUUUAAAUUACAUCAUGAUAAACCAAUUUUGUAGAUUGUUCAUUUUUAGCAUGGUACAUUAUUUGCAA